rnacentral:rRNA from 1 species
AUCUAUGGCUAUACCACCCUGAGCACACCCAAUCUUGGCUGAUCUUGGAAGCUAAGCAGGAUCGGGCCUGGCUAGUAUUUGGUUGGAAGAAACCAUUCAGAUAGCUU